rnacentral:rRNA from 1 species
UAUGCUUAACACAUGCAAGUCGAACGGCAGCACAGGGAGCUUGCUCCUGGGUGGCGAGUGGCGGACGGGUGAGUAACGCGUGAGGAUCUGCCCUUAGGUGGGGGACAACAGUUGGAGACGACUGCUAAUACCCCAUAUGCCGAGAGGUGAAAGAUUAAUUGCCUGAGGAUGAACUCGCGUCUGAUUAGCUAGUUGGUGGGGUAAGGGCCUACCAAGGCGACGAUCAGUAGCUGGUCUGAGAGGACGAUCAGCCACACUGGAACUGAGACACGGUCCAGACUCCUACGGGAGGCAGCAGUGGGGAAUUUUCCGCAAUGGGAACAAGCCUGACGGAGCAAUACCGCGUGCGGGAGGAAGGCCCUUGGGUCGUAAACCGCUUUUAACAGGGAAGAAUAACUGACGGUACCUGUUGAAUAAGCCUCGGCUAACUCCGUGCCAGCCGCCGCAGUAACAC